CCUACGGGGGGCAGCAGUGAGGAAUAUUGGUCAAUGGGCGUAAGCCUGAACCAGCCAAGUCGCGUGAGGGAUGAAGGUUCUAUGGAUCGUAAACCUCUUUUAUAAGGGAAUAAAGUGCGGGACGUGUCCCGUUUUGUAUGUACCUUAUGAAUAAGGAUCGGCUAACUCCGUGCCAGCAGCCGCGGUAAUACGGAGGAUCCGAGCGUUAUCCGGAUUUAUUGGGUUUAAAGGGUGCGUAGGCGGCCUUUUAAGUCAGCGGUGAAAGUUUGUGGCUCAACCAUAGAAUUGCCGUGGAAACUGGGAGUCUUGAGUAUGUUUGAGGCAGGCGGAAUGCGUGGUGUAGCGGUGAAAUGCUUAGAUAGCACGCAGAACCCAGAUUGCGAAGGCAGCAUGCC
rnacentral:rRNA from 1 species